rnacentral:rRNA from 1 species
AGAGUUUGAUCCUGGCUCAGAUUGAACGCUGGCGGCAGGCCUAACACAUGCAAGUCGGGCGGUAACAGGGAGAAGCUUGCUUUUCUGCUGACGAGCGGCGGACGGGUGAGUAAUGUAUGGGGAUCUGCCUGAUGGAGGGGGAUAACUACUGGAAACGGUAGCUAAUACCGCAUAAUGUCCACGGACCAAAGCAGGGGACCUUCGGGCCUUGCGCGAUUGGAUAUGCCCAGGUGGGAUUAGCUAGUUGGUGAGGUAAUGGCUCACCAAGGCGACGAUCCCUAGCUGGUCUGAGAGGAUGAUCAGCCACACUGGAACUGAGACACGGUCCAGACUCCUACGGGAGGCAGCAGUGGGGAAUAUUGCACAAUGGGGGAAACCCUGAUGCAGCCAUGCCGCGUGUGUGAAGAAGGCCUUCGGGUUGUAAAGUACUUUCAGCGAGGAGGAAGGCAUUAAGGUUAAUAACCUUAGUGAUUGACGUUACUCGCAGAAGAAGCACCGGCUAACUCCGUGCCAGCCGCCGCGGUAAUAC